UAACUCUUUACAAAAGAAAAUCAAAUUCUUGAAUUCAUAAUAACACAUAGAUCUGUGCAUACAUUGUACUUUCAUUUUUUUGAAAGAAAAUGCUUUGUACUUUUCACUCAAAUAAGCACAAAAUUAAGUAAUGAAUGAAUAGGAGACUGCUAGAAGGUGGAUUUUUAUGCAGAUGCACAUAGAUCUGUGCAUAAGAGGAUGUUUCUAGUCAGUUCUAACGACCAUCCAAGAAAAAAUUCUUCAUAGUGCAAGGGAAGGGACACAGCUAGGCUUGUGAAUGUGGGGAGAAUAAUGCUAGAACUGUGCGCUGUUAGGCUUCUCAGCAGUGUAUGUGAUUGUGUAUAGUCUUUUAAUAAUUUAUGAAUUUUAGAGCUACUUCUUUUCUGGUGUAGGGCAAGAAUAUUAGAAUUUUGUCUGAAAUUCUUGCAUAAGUCUGCAUGGAUGCUAACUAAACCUUCCCCAUGAGCUCUCUGACAGUCUGACUGUGAGACCCCUCUUCUCAUUCUUCUCCAUGCCUGUUAAUUUGUUAGAAGCAAAAAAUUGGUUUUUUGAGAUGACUUAUUGUUUUGGUUAUAGAAAGCAGUCCAUGAGCUCUCUGAUAGUCUGACUGUAAGACCCCUCUUCUCAUUCUCCUCCAUGCCUGUUAAUUUGUUAGAAACAAAAAAAAUGGUUGUUUUCAGAUGACUUCUUGUUUUGGUUAUAGAAAGCAGAUUACUCUGGAGUGUUUUUUUCUAAUUAAUAAGAUCUUCGUGGUUACCAAUGGAUUUUUUUUCUGUUUAGAUGAAUAUCACUAGGUCCAUUGCUCCGUGCAAGGUAUAGAUGGCAUACAUACAGGUUGGUGAAGCCCGUGAGGAAUUGACAUAUAUGGUCUGAUGAUUGUCAUGAUUGAGGGUCUGAACCAACAACCAACAGAUCUGUAUAGAUGUUAUCUAAAUUCUUGGUAAAUUAGCGGUUUACUAAUGCUAUGGCCCAACCAGAAGUCCAGAACUUAGAUUUUUCAAACAUUAUUGUCAGCAAUGAUUUCAGAGGAUGUAAUCAGUAGACUGUCUAACUGCUAUCAUCAAUGAUUAUAUUGGAGGAAUAUAAUGAUGAGAUCGCAAACUAAACUCUGAAUUUCGGUGGGGAAGGGUGACGGCAACAAGGCAUCGCAAGUGGCAGACUGCCAGGAAUUUAUUGCAGAACGGUAAAAGAACUGAAACUUCUGCGCAUUUGGAUUGGAAAGGCACGCAUGGUUACUUUCUUGUACAUUAUUUUUUUCGACAAACUUUCUUGUACAUUAUUAUUACUCUUGUAUAUUUUUGCAACCAAUUAUCUCAAUACCAGUUGUUAACAAUAAAUAAAUUUGUAAAGGAAUUCCUAUUAGUGUACACUCUUUGUAUAUUGCAGAACUUCAUUUUACAACUCACUUUGGAUGUAUUACAUAGUAUUAUUUA